GGACUACCGGGGUAUCUAAUCCCGUUCGCUCCCCUGGCUUUCGCGCCUCAGCGUCAGUUAAGGUCCAGCGCGCCGCUUUCGCCACCGGAGUUCCUGAUGAUAUCAACACAUUUCACCGCUCCACCAUCAGUUCCGCACGCCCCUACCUCACUCAAGAUGACCAGUAUCAGAGGCAGUUCUCCGGUUGAGCCGGAGGAUUUCACCCCUGACUUGAUCGCCCGCCUACGCGCCCUUUAAGCCCAGUGAUUCCGAACAACGUUCGCACGGUUCGUCUUACCGCGGCUGCUGGCAC
rnacentral:rRNA from 3 species